UAGCCUUCUCACAACAGCAACAAACAGUAACACCUCUGUUAAGGAGAAUAUUGCAACUAGUUCCGCGACCACCACGUGUGAAAAGGUUCGGCACUCCCGUGACGUCACAUUGUCGCAUGACAGGUCGGGAAUGGCGAGUGCAGUCAGCGAUCAUACGCAAUUUCAAGCCCAGAACAUUUUUGUCACAUUCAACCAUCAUCUCCUCGCAAUCUGCUGGCUGUCCAUUUUAAGAGCACCAGUCCACUAAAGAUGACAGAUGACAACCAAAACUUUAAACAACUGAUUAUAGACUGCAGUUUCAGAAUAAAU